rnacentral:rRNA from 2 species
UGGGGAAUUUUGCGCAAUGGGGGAAACCCUGACGCAGCAACGCCGCGUGCGGGAUGAAGGCCUUCGGGUUGUAAACCGCUUUCAGCAGGGACGAUUGUGACGGUACCUGCAGAAGAAGCUCCGGCUAACUACGUGCCAGCAGCCGCGGUAAUACGUAGGGAGCGAGCGUUAUCCGGAUUCAUUGGGCGUAAAGCGCGCGUAGGCGGCUGCCUAAGCGGAACCUCUAAUCCUGGGGCUCAACCUCAGGCCGGGUUCCGAACUGGGCGGCUCGAGUGCGGUAGGGGCAGGUGGAAUUCCCGGUGUAGCGGUGGAAUGCGCAGAUAUCGGGAGGAACACCGAUGGCGAAGGCAGCCUGCUGGGCCGCCACUGACGCUGAGGCGCGAAAGCUGGGGGAGCGAACAGG